GCUGGGCAUGGUGGUGGGUGCCUGUAAUCCCAGCUACUUGGGAGGCUGAGGCAGAAGAAUCGCUUGAACCCGGGAGGCGGAGAUUGUAGUGAGCCAAGAUUGCACCACUGCACUCCAGCCUGGGUGACAGAGCGAGACUCCGUCUCAA
rnacentral:SRP_RNA from 1 species